rnacentral:rRNA from 1 species
GAUGAACGCUGGCGGCGUGCCUAAUACAUGCAAGUCGAGCGAACGGACGAGAAGCUUGCUUCUCUGAUGUUAGCGGCGGACGGGUGAGUAACACGUGGAUAACCUACCUAUAAGACUGGGAUAACUUCGGGAAACCGGAGCUAAUACCGGAUAAUAUUUUGAACCGCAUGGUUCAAAAGUGAAAGACGGUCUUGCUGUCACUUAUAGAUGGAUCCGCGCUGCAUUAUCUAGUUGGUAAGGUAACGGCUUACCAAGGCAACGAUGCAUAGCCGACCUGAGAGGGUGAUCGGCCACACUGGAAUUGAGACACGGUCCAGACUCCUACGGGAGGCAGCAGUAGGGAAUCUUCCGCAAUGGGCGAAAGCCUGACGGAGCAACGCCGCGUGAGUGAUGAAGGUCUUCGGAUCGUAAAACUCUGUUAUUAGGGAAGAACAUAUGUGUAAGUAACUGUGCACAUCUUGACGGUACCUAAUCAGAAAGCCACGGCUAACUACGUG